CGAUGCAUCUGCAAGCAACGCCCCCAAAAGGAAAGAAGGGAAAAGCACUUACGUUGUGGUUUACGCAGCUCCACUUCCCCAGACGACGAGAGAGAGAGAGAGAGAGAGAGAGGGGAAAGGGCUUCUCCUUGCGUUGUUUGACCGAUGGAAUCGGAGAACAUCGAGUGCGUCUCGGUGUCGGAUGGGAUGGUGGAAGAGGAGGAGGUCGCCCAUGUUCCCCACCCCUUCUUGAAGCCUCGCGGCAACGGAAGCGGGACCGUCAGCGGCGGCGGCGUCGGAGGAGGGGGCGUUCCAGCGCCGGUGAUCGGCCCUGUGGCUAGGGUGCAUGAGUUACUGGAGUGCCCCGUCUGCACCAACUCGAUGUACCCUCCGAUCCAUCAGUGCCACAAUGGACACACUCUGUGUUCAACUUGUAAGUCCAGGGUGCAUAAUCGUUGCCCUACGUGUAGGCAAGAACUUGGGGAUAUCAGAUGUUUGGCAUUGGAGAAAGUGGCUGAGUCACUUGAGCUUCCUUGCCGAUAUUUGUCAUUGGGAUGCCCUGAAAUUUUUCCAUAUUACAGCAAGCUCAAGCAUGAAGCUCAAUGCAAUUUUAGGCCAUACAACUGCCCCUAUGCAGGUUCUGAAUGCUCUGUUGUCGGCGAUAUUCCUUUCCUAGUUGCCCAUUUAAGAGAUGAUCACAAGGUAGAUAUGCACAUUGGUUCCACAUUCAACCAUAGAUAUGUAAAGUCAAAUCCCAGAGAGGUUGAAAAUGCUACCUGGAUGUUGACUGUGUUUCACUGUUUUGGGCAGUAUUUCUGUUUGCACUUUGAGGCCUUUCAGCUGGGGAUGGCUCCAGUGUACAUGGCUUUCCUUCGUUUUAUGGGCGAUGAGAACGAAGCAAGGUACUAUAGCUACAGCCUUGAAGUUGGUUCAAAUGGCAGGAAAUUAAUAUGGGAAGGUAUCCCUCGGAGCAUUCGUGAUAGCCACCGAAAAGUCCGGGACAGCCAUGAUGGUCUCAUAAUCCAGAGAAACAUGGCACUCUUCUUCUCUGGCGGAGAUAGGAAGGAGCUGAAACUGCGGGUCACUGGUCGCAUAUGGAAGGAGCAGCAGAACCUUGAUGCCGGAGUGUCUACCCCUAAUCCCUGUAGCUGAUGGUUAGCCAAAAAAAAAAAAAAAAAAGAGCACAUGCUGCUGUUCGUGUUUGUACCGACUGGGUGUGUUUGCCACGAUGUUGUUGUCCUCAGUUCUUGCCAUCCGCUGUAUUUCCACCAUUCGAUUAAGUUGAUGAUAGGGAGAGGAAAAUUGACGAACCUCCCAGCGAGUAGUGGAACAGCUGCAUGUUACUGUUUGAAAGAUUGUGUUCCACUAACCUCUACACGCCGAGCAAGACAUCGCACUCCUCACAUCCGAUGGGUGAGAAGUUUCGCUUGAAUACUAGUGCGUUCUUUGCGUCUCGACUAUGCUUUUGAGCGAAUCAUGUAGAAAGAGGACUCGCUUCCAAUUAUAUUGGGAGCAUCAAAAGGAUGGUGUUCUUUUGACUGGACAAGUUCUCUCUCUUCCUGGCUAGAAGAUGUGUGGCUAGUGCACGAGGCUAGCUGUCACCUUCUCAGUCCUUCCAUGCCCACCAUGGCGCACAUAUUAACGAGCCUACCCCCGGGAUGGUUUUGAAAAGACGGUAAUGCCCUUUACGUCAGCCGGUUUGCCAGGAUAUGCACCGUCCGAUGCGUUGGACGCCGUCAAGGACUGACCGUCGAUCUUGGAGCCUUCUGAUCUCUGAUCAAGGGACUCCCAUGGCUCGCUUCUACUCCUUUUGUAGAUCGAAUACAGUUGGUGAUCAAGGAUGGAGGAGGAGGCAGAAGAGAAAGGGAAGGGAAAAGAAAGAAAGAGAGAGCUAACAGCAUGUCGUGCU